rnacentral:rRNA from 1 species
GACGAACGCUGGCGGCGCGCCUAACACAUGCAAGCCGAACGAGAGAGAGGGAGCUUGCUUCCCCAAUCGAGUGGCGAACGGGUGAGUAACGCGUGAGGAACCUGCCUCAAAGAGGGGGACAACAGUUGGAAACGGCUGCUAAUACCGCAUAAGCCCACAGCUCGGCAUCGAGCAGAGGGAAAAGGAGCAAUCCGCUUUGAGAUGGCCUCGCGUCCGAAUAGCUAGUUGGUGAGGUAAUGGCCCACCAAGGCGACGAUCGGUAGCCGGACUGAGAGGUUGAACGGCCACAUUGGGACUGAGACACGGCCCAGACUCCUACGGGAGGCAGCAGUGGGGAAUAUUGCACAAUGGGGGAAACCCUGAUGCAGCGACGCCGCGUGGAGGAAGAAGGUCUUCGGAUUGUAAACUCCUGUUGUUGAGGAAGAUAAUGACGGUACUCAACAAGGAAGUGACGGCUAACUACGUGCCAGCAGCCGCGGUAAAACGUAGGUCACAAGCGUUGUCCGGAAUUACUGGGUGUAAAGGGAGCGCAGGCGGGAAGACAAGUUGGAAGUGAAAUCUAUGGGCUCAACCCAUAAACUGCUUUCAAAACUGUUUUUCUUGAGUAGUGCAGAGGUAGGCGGAAUUCCCGGUGUAGCGGUGGAAUGCGUAGAUAUCGGGAGGAACACCAGUGGCGAAGGCGGCCUACUGGGCACCAACUGACGCUGAGGCUCGAAAGUGUGGGUAGCAAACAGGAUUAGAUACCCUGGUAGUCACACCGUAAACGAUGAUACUAGGUGUUGGAGGAUUGACCCCUUCAGUGCCGCAGUUAACACAAUAAGUAAUCCACCUGGGGAGUACGACCGCAAGGUUGAAACUCAAAGGAAUUGACGGGGGCCCGCACAAGCAGUGGAGUAUGUGGUUUAAUUCGACGCAACGCGAAGAACCUUACCAAGUCUUGACAUCCCUUGACGAACAUAGAAAUAUGUUUUCUCUUCGGAGCAAGGAGACAGGUGGUGCAUGGUUGUCGUCAGCUCGUGUCGUGAGAUGUUGGGUUAAGUCCCGCAACGAGCGCAACCCUUACUGUCAGUUACUACGCAAGAGGACUCUGGCAGGACUGCCGUUGACAAAACGGAGGAAGGUGGGGAUGACGUCAAAUCAUCAUGCCCUUUAUGACUUGGGCUACACACGUACUACAAUGGCGUUAAACAAAGAGAAGCAAGACCGCGAGGUGGAGCAAAACUCAGAAACAACGUCCCAGUUCGGACUGCAGGCUGCAACUCGCCUGCACGAAGUCGGAAUUGCUAGUAAUCGUGGAUCAGCGUGCCACGGUGAAUACGUUCCCGGGCCUU